CUUACCAGUGUCAGUCGGACGCGUGUAGCAAUACACGAGUGGCGCACGGGUGAGUAACGCGUGGAUAUCUGCCUUUUGGUUCGGAAUAACUCCGGGAAACUGGAGCUAAUACCGGAUGGUUCCUACGGGAUAAAGAUUUAUCGCCAAAAGAUGAGUCCGCGUACGAUUAGCUAGUUGGUGAGGUAAUGGCUCACCAAGGCGACGAUCGUUAGCUGGUCUGAGAGGACGAUCAGCCACACUGGGACUGAGACACGGCCCAGACUCCUACGGGAGGCAGCAGUGGGGAAUAUUGGACAAUGGGGGCAACCCUGAUCCAGCCAUGCCGCGUGAGUGAUGAAGGCCUUCGGGUUGUAAAGCUCUUUUGGCGGGGACGAUGAUGACGGUACCCGCAGAAUGAGCCCCGGCUAACUUCGUGCCAGCAGCCGCGGUAAGACGAAGGGGGCUAGCGUUGUUCGGAAUUACUGGGCGUAAAGCGAGUGUAGGUGGUCGUCCAAGUUGGAUGUGAAAGCCUUGAGCUCAACUCAAGAAAUGCAUUCAGGACUGGGCGACUAGAGGACCGGAGAGGAUAGUGGAAUUCCCAGUGUAGUGGUGAAAUACGUAGAUAUUGGGAAGAACACCAGUGGCGAAGGCGGCUAUCUGGACGGUUUC
rnacentral:rRNA from 1 species